UACCAGCAGCCCCGAGUGGUCGGGACGUUUAUUGGGCCUAAAGCAUCCGUAGCCGGUUCUACAAGUCUUCCGUUAAAUCCACCUGCUUAACAGAUGGGCUGCGGAAGAUACUAUAGAGCUAGGAGGCGGGAGAGGCAAGCGGUACUCGAUGGGUAGGGGUAAAAAUCCGUUGAUCCAUUGAAGACCACCAGUGGCGAAGGCGGCUUGCCAGAACGCGCUCGACGGUGAGGGAUGAAAGCUGGGGGAGCAAACCGG
rnacentral:rRNA from 1 species